rnacentral:misc_RNA from 1 species
GUGAAUCAUCAAAUUUUUGAACGCAAAUUGCACUCUCUUCGGAGAGUAUGCCUGUUUGAGGGUCAGCCUAAAAAAAAAAUCGGCAUAGUCGCUGUUUCGCGUUGAGAUUCGUCGGAAAUUGGGUCAUCUUAAACCUUUGGGUGUUAAGGGGGUUAAAAUUUUAUUUACGACUCCACGAAGGUUUGUAAGAUUUA